CCAGCCGCGCCGCCGGGCUCAGCCAGGUCCAGGAAGGCCUGACGCAGCAGUGCCGGGCUUUCGCCGAGCGCGCAGCCCAGCGCUGAGGGCGGCUGAGGCGGGGGCUGCAGUUUGAACAAGUCUCCUGCUGAUCCUUUGUGGAGUCCUUGCCAGUCCCUGUCCUGGCCCCUGGGACACUGUCAGGCUCAGGGAGGAGUCGGCGGCGGCGAGAGGAGGCUGGUUGAGCCCGAGUUAAUCAAUGCUUUCCUCUUCGAACUGACGUGCAUUUUACACGUCGGGACUCUCCUCAGCCGGCUAAUUGAUUCAAAUUGUUUUAUUGGUUAAACUGGUGUCACCCAUUUUCAUGAUCUAUCACCACAUGGAGGAGAGCAUUUCCACUCCUAUCUCCGUUCCGAGCGGCUGCGGUUCACCCAGGCCAAGGACAGGUAAAGGAGCCCAGACGCGGGACCCAGAGGAAAACCACAAACCGAGCUGGCCUCCUCAUAACUGGAGAGGCGACGCCUGGAAGCAAGAGCAGGAGGCCAGCACAGCAGCGCAUAUGAGCUUCCAGCUACAAAUUUAAACAACUGGUUGAAGCGAACCCACACUCAGCCGGACCUGGGCCCAGCUUCCUCCACUUGGGACUAAGUCGGUUUCCGAGCCGGCGGUGAACUCUGCGGGAUAUGAGACCACAACAAAACCCGGGAUGGGAACUGUCCGCGGUGCUGACGAGAUGCAUCGUUCUAAAGCACAGCGAAUCCUACUGCGUUCAAGGUCGGGAGGAAGCCUCCCAGCCUGUAAUCGAGCCCUAGAUUCGGCUCUGGGUGGGCUCGAGCAGAGCCUCAUAGACUUAAGAGGCGGGCAAGGGGCAACACAGAGCCACACCCCCUACUUCUCCCACACCUGCCCCAUCUCCAAGGACUGAGCAAUCCAGCUUCCUCAACCUCACCCCCUUCCUUGCAUUGACAGCAAGGAAAAUAAAAGCCUCGAUAAAAAUUCA